rfam:Pteropus alecto contig95021, whole genome shotgun sequence.
GUCCUGGCAUCGGCAGGACACAUACUAAAAUUAGAACAAUACAGAGAAGAUUUGCAUGGCUCCUGCGCAAGGAUGACACGCAAUUUCAUGGAGCAUUCCAUACAAAA